GAUUGAACUACAGCUGCGUG
rnacentral:misc_RNA from 1 species